AUGCCACCGCGUGUUAAUUCGGUGCCCCGCUGGGGGCAUUUUCGUCAUUUCACGCGUUGGAGUAUAAAAGGGAGCCGCUCCUGUGGAGAAGACCUAGCCGCUGCUCCUCCCGCACUCGCGUCGGCCCCUCUCCCCUUCCUCCACCCCCUCCUCCUCCUCCUCCUCCCAUCGCCGCCCCCUCCUCCUCCCAUGGUCAUCCCCCCUCCUCCGCCUCCCUCGCAUCUCGUCCGCCCCGGGUGCGGAGCCCUAGGGCCGCUGCCGCCUGGCAGCACCUACGGCCGCGGUCGCUGUUGGCAGCACCUUCGCCCGUCUUCGCCUACGCUGCCGCCGCCUCUGGUGGCCAUCGGCCCCUCCGCCCCACCCACGGAAGUGACAGUGACUCCAUAUAUUUUGGCAGCUGAAAUGGUCGAGAAGUUUGAGUCAGGGACUAGAGAUUUGGGCAGCCACUACAGCAGAUCAAUGUCUAAUGAGGAUGCAGCAACUGCCUCACAGAGAAGGCCCAAACUUAUGCUAACAAGGCCAAAGGAACCUGAGUUUCAGACUAACCAUAGGGUCCGAGCAGUCAGAAUGAAAAGCUCUUCAGAACUAGAGGAGGAAAUGCUGGCCAAGAUCCCAAAGUUCAGAGCAUGGCCAUUUAACAAAAAGAUAGCUGAAGCUCCGUCUUUCCCUCCUCUUCCAAGGACAGCUCCACAGCUUCCCGAUUUCAAUGAGUUUCACCUUAAAACAAUGGAAAGAGCGUCUCGACAUGCUGACACAUGUUCAGAAGCUUCUUCUGUAGGAACUAUGCGGAUUCUUGAGAGGAAGGGCGGUAUUGGUGUUUUUGCCCAUCCAAAGGCCCAGGCAACAGAGCCCAAGGAGUUCCAUUUUUGUACUGAUGACCUCUUGGGACCUCCUGCAGUUGCGGAUCUUCUCGACAAGCUUUCUCUGUACUCUGAAUCUUCUUCCUACAAUGACAAGAGAGAUAUGCCGGGACUGACAAUACCCAAACCUUUCAAUCUACAUACAGAUAUCGUUUCUAGGUGGCUGCUGAUGAAUCAUGUCAAUGUGGCAGAACACCGUGUAUAUCAAAUAUCUUCAGCUGUGGUUAAGGAGGAUUCCCGCCAGCACCAUCUCACUGCUGACCUGUGUAAUCAAUUUAUGUUUCCAACCUUUUUGUUUAGACCGCUGCUCCUCCCGCACUCGCGUCGCCCCCUCUCCCCUUCCUCCGCCCCCUCCUCCUCCUCCUCCCAUCGCCGCCCCCUCCUCCUCCCAUGGUCAUCCCCCCUCCUCCGCCUCCCUCGCAUCUCGUCCGCCCCGGGUGCGGAGGUGAGCUGCUGCACCCACGCCCCUCCUCCAACUCCCCCACCCCUCCUCCAAUGGCGCUCCCUCCUUGGAUCGAGCCCUAGGGCCGCUGCCGCCUGGCAGCACCUACGGCCGCGGUCGCUGUUGGCAGCACCUUCGCCCGUCUUCGCCUACGCUGCCGCCGCCUCUGGUGGCCAUCGGCCCCUCCGCCCCACCCACGGUCAGCACCGGCCCCCCUCUGUUCUUUUUUUGUUUCAUGAAGUGACAGUGACUCCAUAUAUUUUGGCAGCUGAAAUGGUCGAGAAGUUUGAGUCAGGGACUAGAGAUUUGGGCAGCCACUACAGCAGAUCAAUGUCUAAUGAGGAUGCAGCAACUGCCUCACAGAGAAGGCCCAAACUUAUGCUAACAAGGCCAAAGGAACCUGAGUUUCAGACUACCCAUAGGGUCUGA
rnacentral:rRNA from 1 species